rnacentral:rRNA from 1 species
GACGUAGGGCGCGAGCGUUGUCCGGAUUUAUUGGGCGUAAAGAGCUCGUAGGCGGUUUGUCGCGUCGUUCGUGAAAACUCACAGCUUAACUGUGAGCUUGCGGUCGAUACGGGCAGGCUAGAGUUCGGUAGGGGAGACUGGAAUUCCUGGUGUAGCGGUGAAAUGCGCAGAUAUCAGGAGGAACACCGGUGGCGAAGGCGGGUCUCUGGGCCGAUACUGACGCUGAGGCGCGAAAGCCAGGGGAGCGAACGGG